GAUGGAGGUGUGGGACAGGGAGUGGAGAGUGACAGCCCAAGGACCAGGAUGGAGGUGUGGGAUGGGGAGUGGAGAGUGACAGCCCAAUGUCCAGGUUGGAGGUGUGGGGACAGGGAGUGGAGACUGACAGCCCCAGGUCCAGGAUGGAGGUGUGGGGAAAGGGAGUGGAGAGUGACAGCCCGAGGUCCUGGAUGGAGGUGUGGGAGAGGGAGUGGAGAGUGACAGCUCACAUCACAUCACGCCCACGGGCCCUGCAUGGGGACCCUCAGCUCCUGAGGGUCAGGGGGCCCAAGGUGACCAGGCCCUUCAUACCCCCAGGGCUGCCCUGCCUCUGGCCACUGCUGAGCACUUGGCCCAUGGGGGAGCCCUCUGCUGGCCAGGGCCUCGUGGUCCCUAGGUUGGCACAGGGUCCCUCCUGGGUCCUCCUGAUCCUGGGCCCCUGGGGUGAGGGGGGAAGGCCAGGGAGGGGUCCCAGCCUCCCCACAGCCCCCACCACAGCCCGUCGCCCCUCCCCUGCGGGGGUGGGAAAAGCACCUGGAACAAGUCCCAGGUCGUUCCCAGGAAGGGGGGGUGCAUCCCUCCCGAGGCCCCACUCCCUGAUUCAUGAGGCAGGAGCCCAGCGCGUCCAGCACACUU
rnacentral:lncRNA from 1 species